CCUACGGGAGGCAGCAGUGAGGAAUAUUGGUCAAUGGCCGGAAGGCUGAACCAGCCAUGCCGCGUGAAGGUCAGUGCCCUAUGGGCGUUAAACUUCUUUUGUGCGGGAGCAAUAAUGGUCACGUGUGGCCAGACGAGAGUACCGUACGAAUAAGCAUCGGCUAACUCCGUGCCAGCAGCCGCGGUAAUACGGGGGAUGCAAGCGUUAUCCGGAUUUAUUGGGUUUAAAGGGUGCGUAGGCUGUGAGGUAAGUCAGCGGUGAAAUGCCCCCGCUCAACGGGGUGAAGUGCCAUUGAUACUGGCUGGCUGGAAGGCGGAUGCCGUGGGAGGAAUGUGUGGUGUAGCGGUGAAAUGCAUAGAUAUCACACAGAACACCGAUUGCGAAGGCAUCUCACGAAUCCGCGAUUGACGCUGAUGCACGAAAGUGUGGGUAUCAAACAGGAUUAGAUACCCGAGUAGUC
rnacentral:rRNA from 1 species